AUACGAAGGGGGCUAGCGUUGUUCGGAAUUACUGGGCGUAAAGCGCGCGUAGGCGGAUCGUUAAGUCAGGGGUGAAAGCCCGGAGCUCAACUCCGGAACUGCCCUUGAUACUGGCGAUCUUGAGUCCGGGAGAGGUGAGCGGAAUUCCUAGUGUAGAGGUGAAAUUCGUAGAUAUUAGGAGGAACACCAGUGGCGAAGGCGGCUCACUGGCCCGGUACUGACGCUGAGGUGCGAAAGCGUGGGGAGCAAACAGGAUUAGAAACCCUAGUAGUCC
rnacentral:rRNA from 1 species